rnacentral:rRNA from 1 species
GACAGAGGGUGCAAACGUUGUUCGGAAUUACUGGGCGGAAAGCGCGUGUAGGCUGCUCGGAAAGUCGGAUGUGAAAGCCCUGGGCUCAACCUAGGAAGUGCAUUCGAAACUUCCGAGCUGGAGUGCUGGAGAGGAAGGCGGAAUUCUCGGUGUAGAGGUGAAAUUCGUAGAUAUCGGGAGGAACACCAGUGGCGAAGGCGGCGAUCUGGGAAGAUACUGACGCUGAGGUGCGAAAGCGUGGGGAGCAAACAGG